rnacentral:rRNA from 1 species
UUGAGCCUUGAUGUGUAGGAUAGGUGGGAGGCUUUGAAGUGUGGACGCCAGUCUGCAUGGAGCCGACCUUGAAAUACCACCCUUUAAUGUUUGAUGUUCUAACGUGGACCCGUGAUCCGGGUUGCGGACAGUGUCUGGUGGGUAGUUUGACUGGGGCGGUCUCCUCCUAAAGAGUAACGGAGGAGCACGAAGGUUGGCUAAUCCUGGUCGGACAUCAGGAGGUUAGUGCAAUGGCAUAAGCCAGCUUGACUGCGAGCGUGACGGCGCGAGCAGGUGCGAAAGCAGGUCAUAGUGAUCCGGUGGUUCUGAAUGGAAGGGCCAUCGCUCAACGGAUAAAAGGUACUCCGGGGAUAACAGGCUGAUACCGCCCAAGAGUUCAUAUCGACGGCGGUGUUUGGCACCUCGAUGUCGGCUCAUCACAUCCUGGGGCUGAAGUAGGUCCCAAGGGUAUGGCUGUUCGCCAUUUAAAGUGGUACGCGAGCUGGGUUUAGAACGUCGUGAGACAGUUCGGUCCCUAUCUGCCGUGGGCGCUGGAGAACUGAGGGGGGCUGCUCCUAGUACGAGAGGACCGGAGUGGACGCAUCACUGGUGUUCGGGUUGUCAUGCCAAUGGCACUGCCCGGUAGCUAAAUGCGGAAGAGAUAAGUGCUGAAAGCAUCUAAGCACGAAACUUGCCCCGAGAUGAGUUCUCCCUGAGACUUAGAGUCUCCUGAAG